CUAGACGAACUGCCGUUGACAAACGGAGGAAGGUGGGGAUGACGUCAAAUCAUCAUGCCCCUUAUGUUCUGGGCUACACACGUGCUACAAUGGCCGGUACAGACGGACGCAAAGCCGCGAGGUGGAGCAAAUCCUAAAAAGCCGGUACUCAGUUCGGAUUGCAGGCUGCAAUUCGCCUGCAUGAAGUCGGAAUCGCUAGUAAUCGCAGGUCAGCAUACUGCGGUGAAUACGUUCCCGGGCCUU
rnacentral:rRNA from 1 species